UUAGGGGCAUCAGACCUGAGUGGGUUCAGAGGACUUGUGCUUCACCAUCCUGCUUUGAGAGGCUUUGAAUUAGGUUUCUGGAGAGUUUCCCCUUCCCUGAGACCCAGCUUUGAGUUUAACUCCUGGGACCAAUGUACUCCGGGACACUGCCGCGAGCGCCUGAAAAGGACCCCCUAGGCGGAGUAGAAACAUUUAAGGGUGGGGCCCUCUUGGCUCUGAAGAGGUUUGAGGGCCAGGGGCCAGGGCCAGAGAAAGAGGUGGGACCUGGCUUUUAAUGGAGAUCAUCUUUCCCAGCACAGGAAGGCAUUUGUCUGCCUAAUGACCUGCAAGCAGGAAGGAUACUCCGUAACCUCACUUUGUUCUGCUGACCUUCUCCGGAGACGCAUCAACGAAUCCCUUUAAGAGAAAACAGGACAAUGGGCGUAGUGGGCGCUGCAGAAGCCUUUAGUAAGUCUAUUUCCUCUAUGAGUUUCAUUGUCUGUAUGAGACAAUCCUUCAAUCUAUUAUUUUAAAUUUGUAUUUGUGCCGCAGAUACUUCUCAACUGCUUCCUAUAUAAGAGGCCGUGUGCCCUGCAGGUGAGGGUCUAAGGUGAGCUAGUUAGUGUCCAGGAGAGAGGCUGAUGCUCUGAGGGUCAGGAAGGGAGCACAGGCUCCUGGCGGAGGCAGCGCCUGAGGUUGGCUGGGGCGGCCUGCGGUGCUGACUUCCGUUGCCUCCUGUGUUGACUUCCAUUGCCUCCUGUGUUCUGAAGCAUCUGCACAGCUCAAUGUUUGGUAAAAGGCUGUGCUUAGUAUGCCUUUCUUCAGUUGAUGCAAUGAUGAGAUGAAAUACAUGUAUUCUGAGAGAUAUACAGAUUGCUUCUGAAAAUGAUGGAUAAUGAAUUUUUUAAUGUGAUCUUUUUUAUUUCUUCUCGAAGAAAUCUUGUAAGUUGUGAUGAGGUAGUGAUUCAAGUUCUUUGAAAUGUCUGACAUCCCUUUAAAUAGAUCGCCCAUUCAAUGUGCAUUAGAACAGCCAUUCAAGGCAGCACCUCAUGGGGUGUUACUAUAUUUGCAUCUUGCAUCAAAGCUGACUUUUCUCUGUUUAGAUGUCUUAUGGGGGGUGUGAGGGUAGGUUGCAGCUAUAGCUAAAACUGGGAGGCAAGAGUCUGCAGGAUUCUCCUUUUGGAUCCACAUGUGAUAGGAAAUAUAGAGAAAUAUAGUUACCACAAAUAACCAAGCUUAUCCAAGAAAACAACACCAUUUGACCAAAUAUGCUGCCAGGGAGGAAUAAUGUAAUGUUAGCUUUAAAAUCUGUAAAUCAAAAAUAGAAGAGAAACUUUUAAGACCUUUGUCACACCAUGAAGCAUUCAGGCAUGCUUGCUAAUUCAUGAUGACAUUUUGCCCAGUCCCAUUGUGCCAGGAGAGAUGACGGCAGAGCACAGUCCCACUUCUCAGGAGGCUUACGACUUCAGUUUAACUCCCGUGGUGUGGAAGAGUUAGUGCCCGCCUAACAGCUCCACCCGCAGCCUCCGGACAGAGCCCGCCGAGUCCUGGCUCACCGGCGAAAACACAGGGGCUCUGCUUCCUGACUCUCCUUCAGGUGAUGCCUAGAGAAUCCACCUGUGAGGUCAUCUCCCACUGAAGCAUCUAUUGGGAAAUUAUGCGGUAAAAUCUAAGCUUAAAAGAGCAGAAAAGGAAAAUGUGUGCUAACUAGUUUCAUUUGUACAUAAUCAGGGACUCGUGAGAUGUGGCUGCCUGUGUUCCAUCAGCCCUGGCCAGAGAUGCUUCCAUGGCUGCCUUUAUUCUUUCCUACAGUUUCAACAUCACCUGCUUUCUGUGGGGAAAUCCAUGGGAGAUUACAUUUUGCCCUAAAAAUAUAAACCUGUGAUACUAAUCUAGGCAAAUCAUAAAAUCAUUGUGUCUAAUUUCUUUUGAUUCUUCAACUAAAAUCCUUUUUAAAAGAAGGUGCUGGGGAUUGAACCCAGGACCUUGCACGUGCUAAGCACGCACUCUGCCACCGAGCUAUUAUCCUCCCCUUCCUCCACUAAAAGCUUGAUCUGAAUAUUAUGUAGCUAUGUAUAUUUUUAUGAAAUUAAUUACAAUUCAGUAAGAAGUGGGGAAAAUAUUGUUGCAGUAAUCAUUUGUGGUAGCACAUGUUGGGAACAAAUAUAAAAAGCCCAUCAGCUUAAAUGAAUAAACGGUGUAUUCGUACAGUGUAAUAAAUUAUGUCAACAUAGAUAAAUCUCAAACAAUACAGUCUGGAAACAAAGCAUCUACACAAAGUCCAGAAAAUGUUUUACUGUAUUUGCUUUGGAAAUCUCUUUUUUAAAAAUUGUCUAAGUGCAGUAGUUUUCCAGUGAUUUUUAAAAUUGAAGUCUAGUUGAUUUACCAUGUUGUGUUGGUUUCAGGUGUAUA